UACGGAGGGUGCGAGCGUUGUCCGGAAUCACUGGGCGUAAAGGGCGCGUAGGCGGCCUGAUAAGUAGGGGGUGAAAUCCUGCGGCUUAACCGCAGGGCUGCCUUCUAAACUGUCAGGCUAGAGCACAGUAGAGGCAGGUGGAAUUCCCGGUGUAGCGGUGGAAUGCGUAGAGAUCGGGAAGAACAUCAGUGGCGAAGGCGGCCUGCUGGGCUGUUCUUGACGCUGAGGCGCGAAAGCUAGGGGAGCAAACGGG
rnacentral:rRNA from 1 species